CAGGAUGAACGCUAGCGGCAGGCCUAAUACAUGCAAGUCGAGGGGCAGCACGGGUAGCAAUACUUGGUGGCGACCGGCGCACGGGUGCGUAACGCGUAUGCAAUCUACCUUUAACUCGGGCAUAGCCCGGUGAAAUCCGGAUUAAUACCCCAUAAUAAAUUGAGUGGCAUCACUUGAUUUUGAAAGCUCCGGCGGUUAAAGAUGAGCAUGCGUAUGAUUAGCUAGUUGGUGAGGUAACGGCUCACCAAGGCAACGAUCAUUAGGGGUACUGAGAGGUUACACCCCCACACGGAUACUGAGACACGGAUCCGACUCCUACGGGAGGCAGCAGUAAGGAAUAUUGGUCAAUGGAGGCAACUCUGAACCAGCCAUGCCGCGUGCAGGAAGAAGGCGCUACGCGUUGUAAACUGCUUUUGUACGGGAGAAAACCCUUGUUCGUGAACAAGGUUGAUAGUACCGUAAGAAUAAGCAUCGGCUAACUUCGUGCCAGCAGCCGCGGUAAGACGAAGGAUGCAAGCGUUAUCCGGAUUCAUUGGGUUUAAAGGGUGCGUAGGCGGCCCUGUAAGUCAGUGGUGAAAUCUCUCAGCUUAACUGAGAAACUGCCAUUGAUACUGCAGGGCUUGAGUACAGAUGAUGUUGGCGGAAUAUGACAUGUAGCGGUGAAAUGCAUAGAUAUGUCAUAGAACACCGAUUGCGGAGGCAGCUGACAAAACUGUAACUGACGCUGAGGCACGAAAGUGUGGGGAUCAAACAGGAUUAGAUACCCUGGUAGUCCACACUGUAAACUAUGAUCACUCGCUGUGUGCGAUAUACAGUACGCGGCUAAGCGAAAGCGUUAAGUGAUCCACCUGGGGAGUACGCCGGCAACGGUGAAACUCAAAGGAAUUGACGGGGGCCCGCACAAGCGGAGGAGCAUGUGGUUUAAUUCGAUGGUACGCGAGGAACCUUACCAGGGCUUGAAAGUUAGUGACCGUCCCGGAAACGGGAUUUUCAGCAAUGACACGAAACUAGGUGCUGCAUGGCUGUCGUCAGCCCGUGCCGUGAGGUGUUGGGUUAAGUCCCGCAACGAGCGCAACCCCUACCAUUAGUUGCCAACAGGUUAUGCUGGGGACUCUAAUGGAACUGCCCGCGCAAGCGGAGAGGAAGGUGGGGAUGACGUCAAGUCAUCACGGCCCUUACGUCCUGGGCUACACACGUGCUACAAUGGCUAUUACAAAGGGCAGCUACACAGCAAUGUGAUGCAAAUCUCC
rnacentral:rRNA from 1 species